CCUACUCCUACGGGAGGCAGCAGUAGGGAAUCUUCCACAAUGGACGAAAGUCUGAUGGAGCAACGCCGCGUGAGUGAAGAAGGUUUUCGGAUCGUAAAACUCUGUUGUUGGAGAAGAAUGUAUCUGAUAGUAACUGAUCAGGUAGUGACGGUAUCCAACCAGAAAGCCACGGCUAACUACGUGCCAGCAGCCGCGGUAAUUACGCU
rnacentral:rRNA from 1 species